rnacentral:rRNA from 1 species
GAGACAGCAGCAGCCACGGGAAUACAGAGGGUGCGAGCGUUAAUCGGAUUUACUGGGCGUAAAGCGUGCGUAGGCGGCUUUUUAAGUCGGAUGUGAAAUCCCUGAGCUUAACUUAGGAAUUGCAUUCGAUACUGGGAAGCUAGAGUAUGGGAGAGGAUGGUAGAAUUCCAGGUGUAGCGGUGAAAUGCGUAGAGAUCUGGAGGAAUACCGAUGGCGAAGGCAGCCAUCUGGCCUAAUACUGACGCUGAGGUACGAAAGCAUGGGGAGCAAACAGGAUUAGAUACCCCGGUAGUCCCUGUCUCUUAUAU